CUUGGAGGAGAACGCAAGCGUCUCGGCAAGCCGUCGAAGAGCAACCACCUGCAUGCACCUGUUAGUCAGAAGAAGAGGCCGCUUAGGGAUACAGCUAGUAAGCGAAAGGCUGCAAGCCGUAGGGACUAACUGGCGCUUCUCGAUGAGCUGACUAGUGAAAGCGAAGACGAAGUUGUCCCAAAAAGGCUUCUUGAUGAGAGGGACAGCCACAUAGGAUUUCUUGAAAAAGAAAUAAAAGCAUCAGAAAAUUAAAUACGCAACUCAGUAAAGCCCUAGCUGCAAAGGUACUGGAUCUAGAUUCUGUAGCGCAGACAAUGGUGUCCGUUCCCGUUCAACCUCAGAGAAGUAACAGCACUGCGAUGUGACCAUUACAAAAAUUAUUUAUAUUAAGCUUUC